rnacentral:lncRNA from 1 species
UUUUAGCAGGAUCUCCAGUCAAUUCUUGUGCACAUGACAGUUUGAGAACCAUUUAGCUAAGUUACAUUCUUGGUCAGCUUGUUGGGGUGGCGAGGGUGCGGACUGUGCAUGUGUUUAGGUGUGUGAUUGCGGGUUGAUGAUGUGAUUUUCAUUUAUUUGGAGAAUCCAUAAUCCAGACUCGAUUGGACCAUAAUUGCUAGAAUCAUGUAGGCCACA